rnacentral:rRNA from 1 species
CUGGCGGCGUGCCUAAUACAUGCAAGUCGAACGGUCUUUCUAUGGAAGCUUGCUUCACUGAGAAGAUAGUGGCGAACGGGUGAGUAACACGUGGGUAACCUGCCCAUAAGAGGGGGAUAACAUCCGGAAACGGGUGCUAAUACCGCAUAGUUUUCUUGAUCGCAUGAUCGGGAAAGGAAAGACGGCCUUUGUGCUGUCGCUUAUGGAUGGACCCGCGGCGUAUUAGUUAGUUGGUGAGGUAACGGCUCACCAAGACGAUGAUACGUAGCCGACCUGAGAGGGUGAUCGGCCACAUUGGGACUGAGACACGGCCCAAACUCCUACGGGAGGCAGCAGUAGGGAAUCUUCCGCAAUGGACGAAAGUCUGACGGAGCAACGCCGCGUGAGUGAAGAAAAGGUUUUCGGAUCGUAAAACUCUGUUGUCAGAGAAGAACAAGUUGGAGAGUAACUGCUCCAGCCUUGACGGUAUCUGACCAGAAAGCCACGGCUAACUACGUGCCAGCCGCGGC